rnacentral:lncRNA from 12 species
AAAUGUGAUAAAGUGUAUGACAGAAGUUUUCACAAAAUUACUUGAUAGUUUUAAAGAAGCAGCAUCCAGAAAGCUUGCUGACUGAAGUGAUAGCUAAGAUAAGCCCUGAAGAAGGAAAUAGCCAGGCAAAGGCGAGGCAUCUACAAUAAAAGGAUUAGAGAGAGGACAGGACGUGUUUGAGGAACUCUAAGGGACUAGACUUGUUGGCACAAUGUCUGAAGUAGGAUGUGAAUGGUGAGACAGAAAGAAGGAGAGGAGAGGUAAACAACAAUCAGAUCACAAAGGGUCUCGUGUGCUCCACCCAUACAUUCAUAUUUUGUUUUUGACAAACCAGGACCUAUCAAUAGGAUUGAGGUAAGAAAAAAUGGAAGAAAGGAUAUUUCUGCUUUUAGAUUAGAUCACAUGGGGUUGGAGAGAAAAAAAGAGAGGCCUGGUUAGUGUCAGAACUUCUGCAAGAAUGUAAUUGGAUUGCUCAAUGUCCUGGAUAAACUGGACUAGAGAGAUGAGAGGCAAGGGAGUGACCUAGGAGGAAACUGCAAUAAUCCUCCAAGAAUCAUAAGGCAGUGACAGAGGCCUGGAAGGACGAACAAAGGUGAACGGUAUUUGGAGACUCAAAGUGCCUCCAUAUAUGACUACUAUUUAUUCAACAUCCUUUUUGUACUAAGCACUGUUCACUGUGUGGAAUGCUGGAGCAGUAAACAAGGUACUCAACAGGGAAACACAAGACAGCACAGUUUGUUGGGAGUGGGACCGGAGAAGACUGCAGGCUCCUCUUGAAUGUGGAGAGACUUCAUGAAGGAAGUAAGGGCUGAGCAGGAGUUUGCCACCUGUACCCUGCCAAGGAUGACUUUCUUGGAAGAAAGAACUGACUAGUCAUCAGCAAACUAAACCCCACUGGAUUGGCAUUUAAAUGUUGUAUUUUGAAAGGAAUCUUAGAAGUCUUAAAGUAUUUUGUCCCAGAGAAUAGACAUAUUCGUUUGAGAAGGGGUAAAAGGAUGUGAAGAAACUAUGCUCCUUGAGAGAAAUUAAGAAAUUUUAUGAAAGCCUUAAAAAUAGGUGAACAAGAUUCACAUUCUCAUAGUAUCUGAGUAACAUAAAGGAUGUGUUAAAAUAGUGACUUACUACUUCAAUAUUUUCACAAAAUAUAUGAGUUCUUACAGGUUUUUUAGUGUGUUUUAUUCUUUUUUGUUGUAGUUAUUCUACUGAAAAGACCUAAUCACUUAAAAAAUAAAAAAAAAAAAACAAGUAAAGGAUUCUAUCA